rnacentral:RNase_P_RNA from 1 species
CCAGACGGCCGGAUGGCCGCCUUCCGCGACGGGGAAACCCUGCGGGGGGAGGAAAGUCCGGGCUCCACGGAAGCACGGUGCCGGGUAACGCCCGGCGGGGGCAACCCCAGGGAAAGUGCCACAGAAAGCAAACCGCCGGCCCCGCUUCGGCGCGGCCGGCAAGGGUGAAAGGGUGCGGUAAGAGCGCACCGCGUCCCCGGCGACGGGGACGGCACGGUAAACCCCACCGGGAGCAAGACCGAAUAGGGGCGGCCGGCCGGGGCCUUCGGGCCGCCGGCAGGCGGGUUUCCGCGCCGCCGCCCGGGUAGGUCGCGCGAGGCGUCCGGCAACGGACGUCCCAGACGAAUGGCCAUCUAUUGUCCGCAAGGACAUGGACAGAACCCGGCUUACAGGCCGUCUGAGCGC